GUCGAACGGUAACGACACUAGCUUGCUAGUGGGCGACGAGUGGCGGACGGGUGAGUAACGCGUAGGAAUCUACCUAGUAGAGGGGGAUAGCCAAGGGAAACUUUGGGUAAUACCGCAUACGAUCUAAGGAUGAAAGGGGGCCUCUCUUUGAAGCUCUCGCUAUUAGAUGAGCCUGCGUAAGAUUAGCUUGUUGGUGAGGUAAUGGCUCACCAAGGCGACGAUCUUUAGCUGGUCUGAGAGGAUGAUCAGUCACACUGGAACUGAGACACGGUCCAGACUCCUACGGGAGGCGGCAGUCGGGAAUAUUGGACAAUGGGGGAAACCCUGGUCCAGCCAUGCCGCGUGUGUGAAGAAGGCCCUAGGGUUGUAAAGCACUUUUAGUAGUGAGGAAGGCUCAGUAGUUAAUACCUACUGGGAUUGACGUUAGCUACAGAAAAAGCACCGGCUAAUUUCGUGCCAGCAGCCGCGGUAAUACGAAAGGUGCAAGCGUUAAUCGGAAUUACUGGGCGUAAAGCGCGCGUAGGCGGCUUGGUAAGUUGGAUGUGAAAGCCCCGGGCUCAACCUGGGAACUGCAUCCAAAACUGCCUAGCUAGAGUAUGGUAGAGGAUGGCGGAAUUUCCUGUGUAGCGGUGAAAUGCGUAGAUAUAGGAAGGAACAUCAGUGGCGAAGGCGGCCAUCUGGACCAAUACUGACGCUGAGGUGCGAAAGCGUGGGGAGCAAACAGGAUUAGAUACCCUGGUAGAAGGGC
rnacentral:rRNA from 1 species